rnacentral:lncRNA from 1 species
UUUAAUCAGUCUAAAUAUUCUAGUUAUAAAGAAGUUGAAAACCUAAUGAAUUAAAAUCUUCUAACAACUAGUCAAUCAUCCAUCUCCAACCAAAAAAAAUCACAAACCCUAUAACCUCAAAACUACAUUAAACCCAGCAAUGUCAACAAUUCAAGAAUAAUUGAAAAUUCUAGCGUUUGAUUUAGAAAUCCUAAUGGACAGCUUACUUGGGCUCUCAUAUAUGAGAUGACAAUGUUGGCAUUGUCACACUUGACAGUCAUGAUGUUGUUGUUGCUGGCACAGGGGAGCACCUUGGAGAUGUGGUUUAGGUUCAUGGCUGGCACAGGGGAGCACCUUGGAGAGGUUGUGGUCACAACGAAAAAAAUGCUUGAAACUGUCAGAGCGGAGCUGGAGCCACAUGGCCUAGAGGGAUGGCCUCGAGGAGGAGCAAUCGAAGUUGGUGGGUUUAGAGUCCUCAUUACUUCUAGCACCUUCUUUAGAGGGCUCCCUACUUGUUGGAGGGGGUCUUAGACUUGGGUAACUGAUUAGGGCAUUGAAGUCGGAGGAGGAGGCUAGUGGCUAAGGUGGUUGAGCUCUAGAAGGUUGCAGUACAAUGGAGGGAAAGAGGUUGAUGGGUGGUGGCUAGGGUUUUUUGUGGAGAAUGAGAGAGAUGGAGGUGGAGGGGGUUAAGAUAUGUGAGAGAGGUUAGAUAUUAAGGAAAAUUUCUAUGGGUCUUGAAUGGGUCAACAUGGGCUAAACAGGUUAGGAUUCUAAACCAAAAGUUAACCCAUUUAAUCAAUGGAUUAGUCAAGUCAACCUGUUUAUGAUCCAAACUUGUUUUUGUUAAGCAUGGACUUGUUUAUCUCGUGUUGGCUAUGGGUUGGGUUGGCAGGUCUAGUCGUGAUUUGCCACCUUUAAGUUAUCUCAUUAUUAUUUAUUUUUGUUUUCUAGUUCAUGUAUCUUAUCAAUUGCAUUUUUUUCCUGAAAUUUCUGCCUUUAAUUGAUCAAAGUUUCACUCUGGUCGUGACAUUUUCCUCCUUCCCAUUUCCCCCUCUCUCUCCCUCGCUCACACACAUGCACACGGACAGUCUCACACAAUCAUGCUCACGUACAUGUGAAUACUCAUUAUAUAUAUAUAUAUAUAUAUA